rnacentral:lncRNA from 1 species
GGGGGAAAUUGCAAGAGUGAGCACAUAUCGUACUCAACAAGUAUAACCAGGGGUUCAUGAGGCUCAAAUAGCUGACACUGGUUUGACUGCAUUUCGCUUUUAGUAGUUGAUAGCAUGUUUAAUCAUUGGAUAGCAAAUAUCAAGGUAGCAUAAAUAAUCCCAUAACCACAUGAUCAAUGUAUACAAGAAUUAAGAAUAACACAUAUAAACAACAUAAUAAACCAUCAUUUAUUAUCAUUAUUCACAUUCAUCAGUGUCCAUCUAUUCCGUCAGUUUUCC